AUAUCAAUAAGCGGAGGAAAAGAAACCAACAGGGAUUGCCCUAGUAACGGCGAGUGAAGCGGCAACAGCCCAGAUUUGAAAUCUGGCCUCUCGGGGCCCGAGUUGUAGUCUGCAGAUGAGACUUUCUGGUCGACGUCCGUCCCAAGUUCCCUGGAACGGGGCGCCGUAGAGGGUGAGAGCCCCGUACGGGCGGUCGCAGGCCUCUUGUAAAGCUCAUUCGACGAGUCGAGUAGUUUGGAAAUGCUGCUCUAACGCGGGGUAAACCUCCCGUAAGGCUAAAUACCGGCCGGAGACCGAUAGCGCACAAGUA
rnacentral:rRNA from 1 species